rnacentral:rRNA from 1 species
AGAGUUUGAUUAUGGCUCAGAAUGAACGCUGGCGGCGUGCUUAACACAUGCAAGUCGUACGAGAACGCUUCAGCUUGCUGAAGCUAGUAAAGUGGCGUACGGGUGAGUAACGCGUGGGUAAUCUACCUUCGAAUUGGGGAUAACGUUGCGAAAGCGACGCUAAUACCGGAUAAUAUCAAUAGGACUUUGGUUUUAUUGAUCAAAGGUGGCCUCUUCAUGAAAGCUACUGUUUGGAGAUGAGCCCGCGUCCCAUUAGCUUGUUGGUGGGGUAAUGGCCUACCAAGGCAGCGAUGGGUAGCUGGUCUGAGAGGAUGAUCAGCCACACUGGAACUGACACACGGUCCAGACUCCUACGGGAGGCAGCAGUGAGGAAUUUUGCGCAAUGGGGGAAACCCUGACGCAGCAACGCCGCGUGAGUGAUGAAGGCUUUCGGGUCGUAAAGCUCUGUCAAGUGGGAAGAACCACCGUAAGGUUAAUAUUCUUAUGGUCUGACGGUACCACUGAAGGAAGCACCGGCUAACUCCGUGCCAGCAGCCGCGGUAAUACGGGGGGUGCAAGCGUUAUUCGGAUUUACUGGGCGUAAAGCGCGCGUAGGCGGCCGUUUAAGUCAGAUGUGAAAGCCCGGGGCUCAACCCCGGAAGUGCAUUUGAUACUAUUCGGCUUGAGUAUGGGAGAGGGAAGUGGAAUUCCUGGUGUAGAGGUGAAAUUCGUAGAUAUCACGAGGAACACCGGUGGCGAAAGCGACUUCCUGGACCAAUACUGACGCUGAGGCGCGAAGGCGUGGGGAGCAAACAGGAUUAGAUACCCUGGUAGUCCACGCAGUAAACGGUGAUCACUAGGUGUAGCGGGUAUUGACCCCUGCUGUGCCGCAGCUAACGCAUUAAGUGAUCCGCCUGGGGAGUACGGCCGCAAGGUUAAAACUCAAAUGAAUUGACG